rnacentral:rRNA from 1 species
ACGAACGCUGGCGGCGUGCUUAACACCUGCAAGUCGAACGGAAAGGCCCUGCUUGCAGGGUGCUCGAGUGGCGAACGGGUGAGUAACACGUGGGUGAUCUGCCCCUUACUUUGGGAUAAGCCUGGGAAACUGGGUCUAAUACUGGAUAGGACCAUGCUGUAGGUGGUGUGGUGGAAAGAUUAGUUUCGGUAAGGGAUGAGCUCGCGGCCUAUCAGCUUGUUGGUGGGGUAAUGGCCUACCAAGGCGUCGACGGGUAGCCGGCCUGAGAGGGUGGACGGCCACAUUGGGACUGAGAUACGGCCCAGACUCCUACGGGAGGCAGCAGUGGGGAAUAUUGCACAAUGGGCGCAAGCCUGAUGCAGCGACGCCGCGGGGGGGAUGACGGCCUUCGGGUUGUAAACUCCUUUCAGCCAUGACGAAGCCCUUGUGGUGACGGUAGUGGUAGAAGAAGCACCGGCUAACUACGUG